UACCAGCACCCCGAGUGGUCGGUACGAUUAUUGGGCCUAAAGCGUCCGUAGCCGGUUCUUCAAGUCUUCCGUUAAAUCCAGCCGCUCAACGGAUGGGCUGCGGAAGAUACUAAAGGACUAGGAGUCGGGAGAGGCAAGCGGUACUCAGUGGGUAGGGGUAAAAUCCUUUGAUCCAUUGAAGACCACCAGUGGCGAAGGCGGCUUGCCAGAACGCGCUCGACGGUGAGGGAUGAAAGCUGGGGGAGCAAACCGG
rnacentral:rRNA from 1 species